rnacentral:rRNA from 1 species
UACGUAGGGGGCAAGCGUUAUCCGGAAUUACUGGGUGUAAAGGGAGCGUAGACGGUAAUGCAAGUCUGGAGUGAAAGGCGGGGGCCCAACCCCCGGACUGCUCUGGAAACUGUGUAACUGGAGUGCAGGAGAGGCAGGCGGAAUUCCUGGUGUAGCGGUGAAAUGCGUAGAUAUCAGGAGGAACACCGGUGGCGAAGGCAGCUUACUAAGCCAUAACUGACACUGAAGCACGAAAGCGUGGGGAUCAAACAGG